rnacentral:rRNA from 1 species
UUUCGCAAUGCCCGAAAGGGUGACGAAGCGACGCCGCGUGGGUGAGGAAGGCCUUCGGGUUGUAAAGCCCUGUCAGGAGUUAUGAAAUGUAAGUGCGCUAAUAUCGUGCUUAUUUGACAAAGGCUCCAAAGGAAGCCACGGCUAACUCUGUGCCAGCAGCCGCGGUAAUACAGAGGUGGCGAGCGUUGUUCGGAAUUAUUGGGCGUAAAGAGCACGUAGGUGGGUUUGCAAGUCAGAUGUGAAAGCCUUCUGUUCAACGGAAGAAUUGCAUCUGAAACUGCUAAUCUUGAGUAUAGGAGGGGAGAAUGGAACUUCUGGUGGAGCGGUGAAAUGCGUAGAUAUCAGAAGGAACGCCGGCGGCGAAAGCGAUUCUCUGGCCUAUUACCGACACUCAGUGUGCGAAAGCUAGGGGAGCAAACGGGAUUAGAUACCCCGGUAGUCCUAGCCGUAAACGAUGGGCACUAAGUAGAGGGGUUUUA